CAAAAACAAGAAAAACCCAGCGACACCAUAACAACAAUACAAACGACUCUGACAUAACAAGAACAACCGCGGCAGAGGCGAAGCCAACAGAUCUUUUUGACGAAGGUGCGUUUUCAAGGGCAAUGCCCACGAUCGUUCAAACAUAAGAACAAAACUGCCCUGAGGCAGCCAGUGAACAUCGUACUCACUCGAGAAUGGAUCAGCGCUCAAAAAAAUACGUUUGCUCUUGGCCCUGAGUGGGGGCCGCACAGCGUGCACAGGCAGGCCGACAAAAACAAAAACAGGCCGCCGCAGACCAAUAACGAAAAGUGCACACGACCUUGGGGGGAGCUUCGGCUCCCCUCGCUGCAUUCGCGCCCA
rnacentral:sRNA from 1 species